rnacentral:rRNA from 1 species
UACGAAGGGGGCUAGCGUUGUUCGGAAUCACUGGGCGUAAAGCGCACGUAGGCGGAUUUUUAAGUCAGGGGUGAAAUCCCGAGGCUCAACCUCGGAACUGCCUUUGAUACAGCAUAUCUUGAGUCCGAUAGAGGUGGGUGGAAUUCCUAGUGUAGAGGUGAAAUUCGUAGAUAUUAGGAAGAACACCGGUGGCGAAGGCGGCCCACUGGAUCGGUACUGACGCUGAGGUGCGAAAGCGUGGGGAGCAAACAGG